AAGCCCACCCAGCCCAAAAGCCAGGUGGCAAGAAAGUUAAUCCCCCUGGGGUCUCCCUCAGCUGUUGCGGGAAUCAAAUGCCUUAGGCUCCUGUCCUUAGAGGGUCACUUCUGGGAGGCAUUCUGGACACUUCCGAGGCCGGGGAAUCCUCCCUCGUCACCUGCAGCAGCAGUCUCAGUGACACGCCUGUGUGUUGGUUCUUCCCUGCCUCCCUUACUCCAGCUUCCUGAAGCCACCUCUCAAACCAGCCACCUGCGUGCAAGUCCCUGCCUUACCUCUGCUUCCAGCCAGUUUGGGGCCAGCUUCUCUUACCUGCAGGACACCGGCUUCUUGUCUCCUUGUGCCUUGACUAUGGGGGUGUGUGCUGGUCACUCCAAAGGGACCACAUCUCGUCUGUCUCUGUUCCCAGUGAGCACAGGACAUACGCCCAACACUAACAGAAUCCGGAGCGUCGUGGAUAUUCAAAUGAUGAAGACACUAAGUAUGACGCUUUACAAACAUCUGUGCUGCUCCUAUGCCUUGUAACCCAGGUAGGCCCUAAUGCUGAUGUGGGAACCUCGACCGUGGACUUUGCAUGGAAUCCUGGGGCUUGAAGAUGGAGCAGAGAAAGCCAGGGAGGGCCCACCCUGGCCACCACCCCUGAACCUUGGAUACAUACUCCGAAAGUCCAGCUGCAGGGACAGGACAUCCUUGAAGAGGAUGCCCUCCUGCUUGGCCAGCUGCCCGGCCUCCUCCUGGGGGCCCUGGUCCCCGACGGCCAGCUUGAGCAUGUCAUCGUCCAUCACCCUCGGCUCCAUCGAGUUGCACGGCUGGUUCAUCUUCCCCCACGUUUUCCCUAAAAAACACCGCAUUCUUCCUUCA